AUGAUUUUAAUAUUGCUUGAAUUUAAAUAGAAAAUUGUUUUAUGUUUCGUCCUAUGUUUGAGAGUACCCUUAAAGAAGGGUUAAACAGUUAGAAAGAGCUGUGUUUCUGGAACUAACUAAGGAUAUGAAGAUAUUUAAAAUGGGAAUCCUUCUAAACCUUUUAUUUUAUAAUUUAAUUAUAAUGAUAAAUGGUACGCUAUCAAAGAGUGAGGAAACAAUGCAGAAUGAAUCCAAAAUUACAUAGAAUAUCAUUGAGAAAAAACUCAAAGGAAUCAAGCCAAACUAAAAAAGAUGAUUUGAUGAUAUAUCCAGUAAAGAUGCGAGUUGUCAACUCGGAAUCCAGAUCCGUUGAAAAAGAUAUUUUCAGUCCCUAUCAGGAAAAUUACAUUAUUUAUCUAAGGCGUUGAUUACUGCAAGUAUUAUUUUAAUACGUUUAAUAAUUGUCAACAGAAUUUGGUGAAAAGAAUUUUUAAAUGGUCUCCACAAAUUUUAAUUAACCAAAGGACAUUGAGGAACUACCAAGAAUACCUCCAACAUAACAUUACAUCACACCACAUUAAUAUGAGAUUCUUAAUUUUUUGACUAUCCAUCUGCAGGCAUGUGAAAUUAUGAUUUUUCUUUGAUAAAUAUAUAUCAAAUUAUAAUUGAUAAUUGUCACAUAAAGGUUUAUAACCUGCU